CCUACGGGUGGCAGCAGUGAGGAAUAUUGGUCAAUGGGCGCGAGCCUGAACCAGCCAAGUAGCGUGAAGGAUGACUGCCCUACGGGUUGUACACUUCUUUUAUAAAGGAAUAAAGUGAGGCACGUGGGCCUUUUUGUAUGUACUUUAUGAAUAAGGAUCGGCUAACUCCGUUACAGCAGCCGCGGUAAUAAGGAGGAUCCGAGAGUGAUCCGGAUUUAUUGGGUUUAAAGGGAGCGUAGAUGGGUUGUUAAGUCAGUUGUGAAAGGUUGCGGCUCAACAGUAAAAUUGAAAUGGAUACUGGCAGUCUUGAGUACAGUUGAGGUAGGAGGAAUUCGUGGUGUAGCGGUGAAAUGCUUAGAUAUCACGAAGAACUCCGAUUGCGAAGGCAGCUUACUAAACUGCCACUGACAUUGAUGCUCGAAAGUGUGGGUAUCAAACAGGAGUAGAUACCCGAGUAGUC
rnacentral:rRNA from 1 species